GGGGAGAUUCCCGAGUGGCCAAAGGGAUCAGACUGUAAAUCUGACGGCUUCGCCUUCGAAGGUUCAAAUCCUUCUCUCCCCACCA
rnacentral:tRNA from 1 species